rnacentral:rRNA from 1 species
UUUUGUGACUGAGUGGCGGACGGGUGAGUAACGCGUGGGUAACCUGCCUUGUACAGGGGGAUAACAGUUGGAAACGGCUGCUAAUACCGCAUAAGCGCACAGCAUCGCAUGAUGCAGUGUGAAAAACUCCGGUGGUAUAAGAUGGACCCGCGUUGGAUUAGCUAGUUGGUGAGGUAACGGCCCACCAAGGCGACGAUCCAUAGCCGACCUGAGAGGGUGACCGGCCACAUUGGGACUGAGACACGGCCCAAACUCCUACGGGAGGCAGCAGUGGGGAAUAUUGCACAAUGGGCGAAAGCCUGAUGCAGCGACGCCGCGUGAGCGAAGAAGUAUUUCGGUAUGUAAAGCUCUAUCAGCAGGGAAGAUAAUGACGGUACCUGACUAAGAAGCACCGGCUAAAUACGUGCCAGCAGCCGCGGUAAUACGUAUGGUGCAAGCGUUAUCCGGAUUUACUGGGUGUAAAGGGAGCGCAGGCGGUGCGGCAAGUCUGAUGUGAAAGCCCGGGGCUCAACCCCGGUACUGCAUUGGAAACUGUCGUACUAGAGUGUCGGAGGGGUAAGCGGAAUUCCUAGUGUAGCGGUGAAAUGCGUAGAUAUUAGGAGGAACACCAG